rnacentral:rRNA from 1 species
UGCAAGUCGAACGGAAACGAAACUAGCUUGCUAGUAGGCGUCGAGUGGCGGACGGGUGAGUAACGCGUAGGAAUCUGCCUGAUAGUGGGGGAUAGCCCGAAGAAAUUCGGAUUAAUACCGCAUAAUCUAUUCGUAGUAAAGUGGGGGACUUUCGAGCCUCACGCUAUCAGAUGAGCCUGCGUAAGAUUAGCUUGUUGGUAGGGUAAAAGCCUACCAAGGCAACGAUCUUUAGCUGGUCUGAGAGGAUGAUCAGCCACAUCGGGACUGAGACACGGCCCGAACUCCUACGGGAGGCAGCAGUGGGGAAUAUUGGACAAUGGGGGCAACCCUGAUCCAGCAAUACCGCGUGUGUGAAGAAGGCCUGAGGGUUGUAAAGCACUUUCAAUUAUGAAGAAAAGUUAAUGGUUAAUAACCAUUGACCUUGACGUUAAUUUUAGAAGAAGCACCGGCUAACUCCGUGCCAGCAGCCGCGGUAAUACGGAGGGUGCAAGCGUUAAUCGGAAUUACUGGGCGUAAAGCGUGCGUAGGCGGUUUAUUAAGUCAGAUGUGAAAGCCCCGGGCUUAACCUGGGAACUGCAUUUGAAACUGGUCAACUAGAGUAUGGUAGAGGAAAGUGGAAUUUCUGGUGUAGCGGUGAAAUGCGUAGAUAUCAGAAGGAACAUCAAUGGCGAAGGCAGCUUUCUGGACCAAUACUGACGCUGAGGUACGAAAGCGUGGGUAGCAAACAGGAUUAGAUACCCUGGUAGUCCACGCCGUAAACGAUGAUAACUAGCCGUUGGGGGGAUUUACCCCUUAGUGGCGAAGCUAACGCGUUAAGU